rnacentral:tRNA from 1 species
GCGCCCGUAGUUCAAUCGCACAGAACAACCGCCUGCUAAGCGGUAGGUUGAGGGUUGGAGUCCCUCCGGGCGCGCCA